rnacentral:rRNA from 1 species
CAUUACUGAGUUAUCCAAAAACUCCCAACCCUAUGUGAACUUACCACUGUUGCCUCGGCGAGCUGCGCUACCCUGUAGCUACUUUUGUAGCGACCUGGGAGCGCGUUAUAGGCUCGCCAGAGGACCACUAAACUCUGUUUUAUUUUGUAUCUCUGAAUCUUACAACUAAAAUCAGUUAAAACUUUCAACAACGGAUCUCUUGGUUCUGGCAUCGAUGAAGAACGCAGCGAAAUGCGAUAAGUAAUGUGAAUUGCAGAAUUCAGUGAAUCAUCGAAUCUUUGAACGCACAUUGCGCCCAUUAGUAUUCUAGUGGGCAUGCCUAUUCGAGCGUCAUUUCAACCCUUAAGCCUCAAUAGCUUAGCGUUGGGAAUCUACAGGUUACAGCGUAGUUCCUUAAAAGUAGUGGCGGAGUUAGAGCACACUCUAAGCGUAGUACUUGUUUCUCGCUUCUGGUAGUGGCUUUGGCGGCCGGCCGUGAAACCCCCUAUAUUUCUAAUGGUUGACCUCGGAUUAGGUAGGAAUACCCGCUGAACUUAAGCAUAUCAAUAAGCGGAGGAAAAGAAACCAACAGGGAUUGCCCUAGUAACGGCGAGUGAAGCGGCAACAGCUCAAAUUUGAAAUCUGGCCUUCGGGUCCGAGUUGUAAUUUGUAGAGGAUGCUUUGGGUGCGGUGCCUUCCGAGUUCCCUGGAACGGGACGCCUUAGAGGGUGAGAGCCCCGUACGGUUGGACACCUAGCCUAUGUAUAGCUCCUUCGACGAGUCGAGUAGUUUGGGAAUGCUGC